rnacentral:rRNA from 1 species
UACGUAGGUGGCAAGCGUUGUUCGGAAUUAUUGGGCGUAAAGGGCGCGUAGGCGGUUUGUUAAGUCGGCUGUGAAAGCCCGGGGCUCAACCCCGGAGGGUCAGCCGAUACUGGCAGACUAGAGUACGGAAGAGGUAGCUGGAAUUCCCGGUGUAGCGGUGAAAUGCGUAGAUAUCAAGAGGAACACCUGCGGCGAAGGCGGGUUGCUGGGCCGACACUGACGCUGAAGCGCGAAAGCCAGGGGAGCGAACGGG